UUAGGAAGUUGCAGAGCCCAAAUGCCUUCUGCAAAGUGGGUGAGGGUGUGAUCCUGCCAGUGAGGUCUCUGGGCUGAUUUGGAGCCCCCAGAGUCUCUGGGGCAGGAUUAGGAGCAGGGUGCCAGCCCAGUCCAUGGAACAUCCCUGUGGAAGCUGCAGCACUGUGCAGACCUUCAGGGGAACAGGAGAAGCCUUCCUGUGGUGCUGGGACAGAGGAAUGUGCAGGGAUUCACAUUUGAGUAAGGACCUGGAGAAGAACAAGAAUGACGAAGCCCCACAGCUGAAGAUGUCUGUGUGUCUGCAGUCCGUGGUGGGAUCUGAUUUGACAACAGUGAAAGAGCUGCUGUGGUCUGGGGUGCAAAGAAUGGCUGAAGUUCAGCAGAGGAAUGUGCAGAGGGAUUAGUUAUUGUGAGACCAAAUGUAUGAUGUCCCCCUCUGUAUCAGACACAACCUUCUCACAAACAGGAUUAACCAACACUAAGUUAUGAAUGAUGGCUUCCUGACAGCAGCUGCUCAAAUUGAAACUUCAG